CAACGUAGGUAAUCUACCUUCGGAUGGGGAAUAACAACCGGAAACGGUUGCUAAUACCGCAUAAUGCAGCGGCACCUAAUGGUGACAGUUGUUAAAGCGGGGGAUCGAAAGACCUCGCGUCUGAAGAGGAGCCUGCGGCGGAUUAGCUUGUUGGUAAGGUAACGGCUUACCAAGGCGACGAUCCGUAGCCGGCCUGAGAGGGCGGUCGGCCACACUGACACUGACAUACGGGUCAG
rnacentral:rRNA from 1 species